AUUGAACGCUGGCGGCAGGCCUAACACAUGCAAGUCGAGCGGGUGAGGGGAGCUUGCUCCCUGAUUUAGCGGCGGACGGGUGAGUAAUGCCUAGGAAUCUGCCUGGUAGUGGGGGAUAACGUUCCGAAAGGAACUCUAAUACCGCAUACGUCCUACGGGAGAAAGUAGGGGACCUUGGGGUCUUGCGCUAUCAGAUGAGCCUAGGUCGUAUUAGAUAGUUGUUGAGGUAAUGGCUCACCAAGGCGAGGAUCCGUAACUGGAAUUAGAGGAUGAUCCGUCAGAUGGGAACAGAGACUCAGCACCGACUCGGGCGGUAGGCAACGGAGGAGAAUAUUGGAGAAGGCGCGAAAGCUUAAUACAGGCAUGAGGAGUGUGUGAAGAAGGUGUAAGGACUGUAAAGCGAUGAAAGUUGGGAGGAAGGACUGCUGGUUAAUACCGUGCAGUUAUGACAUUACCAGCAGAAUAAGCACCGGCUAACUACGUG
rnacentral:rRNA from 1 species